GGAGAAAUACCCUGAGGGAGGACCUUGUCUGUCACGUUCCUGAAGAGAAACCAAUUUGCAAGAGGGAAGCCCUUAAUGGAAAUGCGUGAUGGGAAGGCACCCUGGGCUGAGGGGCAGUCAGAAGAGCAAAGAUGCCUGCAAUGCUUCUCUUCUGCCAGAGGUCCAUGUUUCUCCUUCAAGCCUUAGCUAAAUUGUCACCUGCCCGAUCAUCACAGGCAGAUUCCCCGCAGGACCCUAAGUGCCUCGCUGGAGUGGAUCAGCUGCACUCGCACCUGGGCCUGCCCAGCCCACAGCAGAGGGAAGGACAACAGACAGAGAGAGACAGAGCAUGAGCAGGGGAGGGGCAGAGAGAGG